rnacentral:lncRNA from 1 species
CGAUUUUGGCCCAGGUAAAAAGGCCCAAAUAAACAGUCCGAUUACAAAAACAAAAAAAAGAAAGAGGGCCCAAACCCCAGACCCAAUUUUUGUGAAAGAACAGUGGCCCAAUAAUAUGUAGCCCAAAUGCCCAAGACGAUAGUCAGAAACCCUAGGGUUUCUAGGGAAAUCCUCAAGCGCCGCAGCCAAGCAUCCUUCAUGAUCGUAGUACCUGCACAUCAAGAAGGAAAGCAGCAGUAUAUGGAAAGGAAAAGAUUUGCAAAUCAAAUCAAUGUAAUGGAAAGAAAUCAAAAGAUUGAGAAUCAAAUCAAAGCAAAAUAUGGAAGGAAAUCAAGAGAUUGAGAAUCAAAUCAAUGUAAACAUGAUUUUAUUUCUACAUUUUUUAUAUAUUAUGGCUAUAUAAAGCCAUUGACGAUACUGUAAUGAGGGAUUGAAAAUCAAUACAAAAAAAAAAGUUAUUAUUUUCAUAGCAAAUAAAGUACCAAAGAGCAAAUAUCAAUCAAAAAAUUCAAAAGGUUGAUAGUUUUUUUUCGAACUUCAGUUUCUUUUCUAUGUAUUUUACCCGAAUCUUUUUUUCAUUUUUUUAAAUACACGAAAAGGGAGAAAAGGAAUACUUACUUGCGGGAAGGAGACGAGAAACCCCAUUUGCUCCGAUCAGAUCGGGGUUGAAGGGGCUUUGAAUCCAUUGAAACGGCGGCGGCGGUUGACUGUUGGAACCCUAGCAGAGGAGGCUAGGGUUCAUAAGUUUUGUUUUUUUGUAAAUAUGGCAGAAAGUGAUGUUUUUUUUGUUUUAAAAUGUUGCUUUUAUAAUAAAAUUGAAACGGCGCCGUUUAAGGGGGCAAGAUCCGCGCGUCGACCCGACCCGGACUCAGGAUCCGCGUGUUUUUAUGCGGAUGGGCAAAUUGCUCUUUUAGCCCCUCCGCCUUUUAAUAUAUUUUCAAUUAUUUU